GGAUGUGUAGCUCAGCAGUUAAGAGCAUGUGCUUAGCAUAUAUGGGGCCCUGGGUUCAAUCCCUAGUGCAUGCG
rnacentral:tRNA from 1 species